rnacentral:rRNA from 1 species
AAAGUCAAUUGUUACUCAACUUACACAUGCAAGUCUCCGCACCCCUGUGAGAACGCCCUCAAAUCCCUUUAGGGAUCAGGAGCUGGUAUCAGGCUCGACCCUCAGCCCACAACACCUAGCCACGCCACACCCACAAGGGUAUUCAGCAGUGAUUAACAUUGUUAAUAAGCGCAAGCUUGACCCAGUCAGAGUAAAUAGGGCCGGCAAAUCUGGUGCCAGCCGCCGCGGCCACACCACAGGCUCAAAUUGACCACCUACUCGGCGUAAAGCGUGAUUAAAGCUACCUUAAGCUGCAAUUAAACUGGAACUAGGAUGUUCAAACCCUGACUCCAGGAAACUCACGAACGAAAGUCAUUGCAACACAAACUACUUGA